AAUGAACGCUGGCGGCAGGCCUAAUACAUGCAAGUCGAGCGAACAGACGGGGAGCUUGCUCCUCUGACGUUAGCGGCGGACGGGUGAGUAACACGUGGGUAGCCUACCUAUAGGACUGGGAGAGCUUCGGGACACCGGAGCUAAUGGCGGAUAAUAUAUUGAACCGCAUGGUUCACUAGUGAAAGACGGUUUUUCUGUCGCUUAUAGAUGGAUCCGCGCCGCAUUAGCUAGUUGGUAAGGUAACGGCUUACCAAGGCUACGAUGCGUAGCCGCCCUGAACGGGUGAUUGGACACACUGGAAGUGAGGCACGGUCCAGACUCCGACGGGAGGCAGCAGUAGGGAAUCUUCCGGGAUGGAGGAAAGCGUGAUCGUGGAACGCCGCGUGAGUGAUGAUGGUGCCCGGAUGGGAGAGCUAUGUAAGUAGGGAAGUAGAAAUGCGUAAGCAGCUAGGAACGUAAUGACGGUACCUACAGAGAAAGCCACGGCUAACUACGUG
rnacentral:rRNA from 1 species